GAAAAAUACUUUUCUAAAAAUAUAUCUAUACCACUUUUUAAUAAAUAUUUUUAUAAAAACAAGAAGUCAAAGUUAAACUUUGGACACUGUGUCAUUGUCCAAAACGACUUGUUUUAUGGGUAGGAAAGAGUAUAUCACUUUGGCUUGUCUACUCGAUCCUUUCCUUGCAUUGCUCAUCUCAAUUGAGGGCAGAAAAGCCUCUGCCUUUCUUUUCCUCCAAACAUGUCACGCCCUAUCCUCUCAUCCUUCUAAUCAUUAUUUCCUCACCUCACUCUCGCACAGCGAUUACAUAUCGUGCGUGACAAACUAGUUCAAGACAUGAAUACACGUAUCACACAACCUUAAGUCGUUUUGGUUUUUUUUUUUUUGUAUACACCUCCCGCCCUACAUUACAAUUUGUAAGGGCCUGUUUGGUUACGGGCGGUAAAGUUUAUCGCCUGUCACAUCAAAUGUUUGAACAUAUACAUGAAGUACUAAAUGUAAACUAUUUAUGAAACUAAAAACAUGGCUAGAGAGUAAUUUGCAACAGGAAUCUUUUGAGCCUAAUUAGUUCAUGAUUGAACACUAAUUGUCAAAUAAAACAAAAUGCUACACCUGUUAAACUUUAACAACCCAAACCAAACACCUCCCAAGUUGUGUCUUGCUUUUGUAAAUACGUAACUUUUGCUACGUACCUAAAUAUACUGUGAAAAAGCUAGAGUAAAUUUUAUUAAUGUAGAAAAUUAGAACGUAUGGAGUAUGUCUGUAGGGAUGAAAACUGAUCGGAUUCGCAUGGACUAUGUUCCUGGUGUCAUCUUUUACCACAUUUUUAUUAGGAAUUGAAUAUGAAUAAUGAUCUUUUUGAAUACGGAUACAAAACAAAUAUCUCGGAUUUGAAUAUCUAUUUGGAUAUUCACUCAAUUCAACUCAAAAUGCAUAUUUGAUAAAUUUAGCAUUACCAAGUUUGUCAAUAACCAAAGUGAAAUAAAAUCAAAUUAGUACACUUCUAAUAGUCUACA
rnacentral:lncRNA from 1 species